UACGGAGGGGGCUAGCGUUGUUCGGAAUUACUGGGCGUAAAGCGCACGUAGGCGGCUUUGUAAGUUAGAGGUGAAAGCCCGGGGCUCACCCCCGGAAGGGCAUUGGAAACUGGCGGACUCGAGUCCCGGAGAGGAAGGUGGAAUUCCUGGUGUAGCGGUGAAAUGCGUAGAUAUCAGGAGGAAUACCGGUGGCGAAGGCGGCCUUCUGGACGGUGACUGACGCUGAGACGCGAAAGCGUGGGGAGCAAACAGG
rnacentral:rRNA from 1 species